AAUUUAGAAUAUCACCUUUCUUGGGAACACUCUAGUUUAAGUGAAUUACAAGCCUACAAUACCUUAUUUUGUGUUGUUAGUAGUGGUUUUUUGGAGCAAGAGUAUAGAGACAUAUCGUAGAUAGUUUUCAGGAAUGGAGUUACCUAAGAGGAGGGCUAAUGACACUUGAUCGUGACUAUGGAUGGAUUAACAACAUCCAUUAUGAUAUAGGAACCCAUGUCAUACAUCAUCUUUGCCCUCAAAUUCUACACUAUAACUUAGUAGAGGCGACUGAAGCCCCGAAGCCAGUGCUUGGUAAAUAAUAUAGAGAGCCAAAGAAAUCAUGGCCACUUUCAUUCCAUUUACUAAAAAGUUGAGUAGUAUGAAAAAUGAUCAUCAUGUGAGUGAUGAAGGGAUGUUUAUUAUCAAAUGGACCCGAAGCUCACCCGAGGCUCAAAAUAGAAAGCUCGUCGAAUCAAGAAAAUAAUGGAUGCUAAAUAGCCUAUUGAACCCAUUUUUUGACAAAAAAAAAAAAAAAA